UCUCCGUUGGUGAACCAGCGGAGGGAUCAUUACAGAGUUUAUCCAAACUCCUAAACCCAUGUGAACAUUACCUUUUGUUGCCUCGGCAGAAGCUGCUCGGUGCACCCUACCUUGGAACGGCCUACCCUGUAGCGCCUUACCCUGGAACGGCUUACCCUGUAACGGCUGCCGGUGGACUACCAAACUCUUGUUAUUUUAUUGUAAUCUGAGCGUCUUAUUUUAAUAAGUCAAAACUUUCAACAACGGAUCUCUUGGUUCUGGCAUCGAUGAAGAACGCAGC
rnacentral:misc_RNA from 1 species